rnacentral:lncRNA from 1 species
UGGUCAUCUAUGGUCAUUGACAGUCAUCUAUGGUCAUCCAUUGGUCAUCCAAAGUCAACCAUGGUGGGCAGUGGUCAUCUGUGGUCAUCCAUCCAUGGUCAUCUAUGGUCAUCGACAGUCAUCCAUUGGUCAUCCAUUGGUCAUCCAUUGGUCAUCUGUGGUGGCCAGUGGUCAUCUGUGGUCAUCUAUGGUCAUCCAAGGUCAUCUAUUGUCAUCUACAGUUAUCCAUGGUUAUCCAUGGUCAUCUAUGGUCGUCCAUGGUCAUCUGUGGUCAUCCAUGGUAAUCCGUGGUCAUCCAUGGUCAUCUAUGGUCGUCCAUGGUCAUCUAUGGUCAUCCAUGGUAAUCUGUGGUCAUCUGUGUCCACCUUUGGUGACCACUGA